CACGUAGGGAGCAAGCGUUGUCCGGAUUUAUUGGGCGUAAAGAGCUCGUAGGUGGUUCGGUAAGUCAGGUGUGAAACCUCCAGGCUCAACCUGGAGACGCCACUUGAUACUGCUGUGACUGGAGUCCGGUAGGGGAGCGUGGAAUUCCUGGUGUAGCGGUGAAAUGCGCAGAUAUCGGGAGGAACACCAGUGGCGAAGGCGGCUUCCUGGCCUGUUCUUGACGCUGAGGCGCGAAAGCUAGGGGAGCAAACGGGG
rnacentral:rRNA from 1 species